GUGGAAUAUCAGGAUAAAAACACCUACAGCUGUGUGCUGAACAAUCCCAUCAGCAACCAGACCACACAUCUGGACAUCAACACACUCUGCAGACACACAUGUGCAGUGUCUCUGAUAGUGUUGAUCUCUGCUGCUGCUGCUUCCGGAUCUCUGUUGAUUAUAGUUACAGUCGUGAUCUGCUGCAUCUGCAGGAAACGUAAAAUAAUAGUUCAAACCCAGGCGAAAGACAUGAAGGAUUCUGCAUUAUGUAAACCAACAAGACGGAAAAAGAAAUCAAAGGAGCCCAUUUAUGGAAAUAUACACCAAAAAUGUUAAUCAAAUACAACAUCUCAGCCUCAUCUAAUGUUUUUUUUUCUUUUGCACCUGCCCUCUCAUAAGCACUAUUGUUAUGGUUUAAUUUAGUGGUGCAAAAAAGGCAGAAACUUAACUAAAUCUUCUAUUUUUAGCUUAAGGACUUUGGCUUAACACAUGGAGACUUUAUAACAUUUUGAUCUUACUCUUUUACUGGUAUGGAUCACCUGGUCUACUCUUGCUUUAAUAAAUAGAAAACUUAAUAUGGAA